rnacentral:rRNA from 1 species
UCUUCCGCAAUGGACGAAAGUCUGACGGAGCAACGCCGCGUGAGUGAUGAAGGUUUUCGGAUCGUAAAACUCUGUUGUUAGGGAAGACCNAGUACCGUUCGAAUAGGGCGGCACCUAGACGGUACCUAACCUGAAAGCUACGGCUAAUUACGUCACAGCAGCCGCGGUAAUACGUAGGUGGCAAGCGUUGUCCGGAAUUAUUGGGCGUAAAGCGCGCGCAGGCGGUUUCUUAAGUCUGAUGUGAAAGCCCCCGGCUCAACCGGGGAGGGUCAUUGGAAACUGGGGAACUUGAGUGCAGAAGAGGAGAGUGGAAUUCCACGUGUAGCGGUGAAAUGCGUAGAGAUGUGGAGGAACACCAGUGGCGAAGGCGACUCUCUGGUCUGUAACUGACGCUGAGGCGCGAAAGCGUGGGGAGCGAACAG